rnacentral:lncRNA from 1 species
AAAUUGUGUUAGACUAAUAUUAUCCUGUGUUGUUCUGUAUGUUAUAUUCUCUUUUCAUACAUUAAGGAACUAUACUAUAUUUACCGAAGUAUACUAAAUCAUUUUAGUUUUAUACGGACAACACUACCUCUACUGUGAGGACAACACUAAAAAGAGAUUUUGACAGUUAGAGCGCGCGCUUUACAUGCGCUUCCUUCGUGGACUGAUAAACUAUGUUUUCUUACGAUUGAUAUUAAAUUGUGUUUUAAAAGUGAAUACAAGAAGUUAUUGUGAUACGAAUUGACGUUUUAUUUCUGAUUAAGGCUAGGAGAUCAUACCCUAGCUUAUAUCAGAAGCGGGAAGAACAGAAAACGCCUAAUUACCAAUGGGGCGCGAAUGCUCCGAAUACAAUAAAAUUAAUGAUCACGCCACACUAUGCGAAACACUUAAACGAAGACGAGAUGACCACAGCACUGAUUGCUCAACCGCAAUAAUGUAUCAAGGACUUAUCUACUCAAGGAAAACAAAGCGACAUGGUCAACAACUUGUGGAGCCUAUAAUGACGACGACCAGACAAGAUUCUUGUGUGUAGAUUACUGCUUGACACACACUACGCCUGAUGGCGAUUAGACACCUUCUCCGCCGCGAUGCAACAGGUACCCGAGACAUUGGACAAUCAGGUAUAAGCAUUAAUAUUUUUUUUUCUCAUUCCAAUUAAUCCAUGGAAUAGAAAACAAUCAUUUAAUUGCCCAAACAUGUGUAUACAUGCAUACACACGCAGGUGCAUGCAUGUAGGAUAAUACAAUUAUUAAAGGUAUGUGCUUAAAACAUGUUUGCCACUUGUCAUGGCAUACAAAUAUAAAACCAGAAACAUUUAGCUCUAUAUACUAAAAACUAUUUGAGCUGACAUUUCAGAGCUUCGGUACUGAGUUUUCUCUAGGUUAUAGAUAUUUUGUUGUACAUAAUGGGUGCCAUUCAAAAUAUAAUUUAGCACAUAAGUGCAGUUUUACAUGGAUGUGAACAGAGUUUGCUAUUGAUCUAUUUGAUGCAUACAUUUUUAAGGUGAGUAAAUGUACAACAAUAUAUUUCAUUAGACAUCCAUAAACCAGCUGGGAACAUGACGGAUACUCUGAGGUAAACAUUUAUAUCCUGAGUAAUUAUGUAUGGUGUUAUUUUUGCUACACAUUGAAUACAUAAAAUAUUCAUGAGAAAAGAGUAAAUAAAGCAAGUAAAGCUAAUUGCAUAGUUCAUGGGGAUGAUGGCCAAACGAUUUGGUGUUAAUGCAUUAUUUACAUACAUUACUGAAAUAGACAAAGGAAGUACCUAUAAAAAUAAGUAAAUAGGAUAUAACAAUAGGAUAUUCAUGAUAUAAAGCCAAUAUUACAAUAAUUAAAAUUGAAAUAGUCAUAAUCACUUACAAAUAGAGGUAGAAAAUAAAGUGGUUAAUUGACAACCAACAAAAACCGUGCGACACAGCUCUUGACUAUUCUAUGUACAUCCAAAGCGGUGAUAACAGGUAUUAAUAAUGGAUAAUCAAAUACUUUAAAGUACUAUAAACACUAAACUGGUUUUUAUUAAUAAAGUAACUAUGAAACUAAAUGCUUCAAGCCAGUAUGUUUCAGACAGUAAGUAUGUUUUACCAAUAUCUUGGUACUGCCAAUAGCAUACAUCAUUGUUAAGUAAAACUUCAUUCCAAGCAAAUAUCAUUGCUUGUUAUUAUUUUAAAGAGUAUCUAAAGUGAAAAUUAUAAAAAUGGUAAUCUUUUUAAAUGAUCUUUUCCAUAUUAUUAACUGUAAAUUGCCUCACCUAGAAAAAGUUAAACUGCUUAUUCUAUCUGAAUGUUGGAUGAUAUUACAGCUAACAGGUACAUUAUAGGACUGUAACAGAUUAAGGAUAGUUUAAUCACAGUAAAGAUGCAGCAAUUGUAGUAAAUAUUAUUUACUUAAAGGAUUUUACAGACUGAAGCAUAAUAAAUAAAUAUAAAUCAGUAGUGUCAAUUAAUCAGAAGAAAAUAUAACUCAGUAGUGUCAGUAAUCUGAGUAGCCAGAUCAGAUAUGUUCUUUUUGAAAGAUUUCAUUUUAAUUUGGAAUCCACCACUUGAUGCUGAGACCAGUUUUCUCAACCAUUAAAAAUAACCCGAAUUGCUUAAAGAUAUGUAUACUAGAAUCAAAUAAAUACAAAAUAAAGAAAUUUCGGCUUUGAAAUCUGAAUCGAAAGCAGUCUACAUAUUAUUAACUUAAUAAAUGAAUAUUAUAAAUUGGGUCAAUAAGAGAUAGGUUUGAGUUGGAACAAAACAACAUUAGUUAUACAUAAAAUUGUCUGAUACUACACAGGAGCUAUACCAUCAGAAUACAUUAUACCAUACUGAAAAAGAAGUAUGUGAGACAGUUAAAGAAUAAAAGACUAGGCAAUUAAUAAGUAAUUUGUCCUAGCCCAUUAAAAAGUUGAAUGCAUACCAGGGCACUCAGUAAAACAUAUAGAUUAUUAUAAAUAAACUGAACCUGAACUUUUAUGGAUGGUAACGAUACGAGUUAACAUUUCUCUCUAUACUCUCUUUAUGACAGGAAAUCUUGUAAUUUCCUGGGAGGUAAGACAUUUUAUUCUGAGACUAAAUUUCAGCACAUAUUGUAUGUUAGACCUUCUCUCACAGAAAAUUACAUGUACAGUUUAUGAUGAUUUUCUUGAUUGAUGUUGUGAGUCUAUUCUGACCACUUAUAAAAUAGAAACCAAGAUUGUGGAGGAUCAGAGGAGUGAAUUCAGUGGGGUGUCAACAACAUCUUUAACAAGUCAGUAAGUACAACCACAAGUGUUUUACAGUCAACAACUAAGAAAGAGCAUUGCUUAGUAUUUAUUAGUUUUGAACCAUUAAUUGAAAAAAAAAACUGACUGAUAAAGAACAAUUUAUAUGGUGAUUGGAACUUAUAUUUAAAGAUGAUGACAUCUGGUUAUGUUUAUAUUCAUAUAUAUUUAUUUGCAUUCCAUAAUGUUACAAUAGAUGUUGAAGAGGCUUAAAACUAAGUAGGUACCAUUAUAGGCCCUGUUAGGGCACAGCUAAAGAAGGCAAUACUUUAAGGCACCAUAAAUAAAGAACCAUGAGUUAAACUAGGCUCAGGGGUACUUUGUUGUCACUUUGUUUGUAUUAAAAUUGUUUCUACGGCACCACCUUCAAUUCUGCUUUCGUAUCCCUCAUCAGGGAUAUAGUUCCGAAGGAGCAGAAAGCUUUUCCACUCACGCUUUACAACUUGUAGAGUUAUAAUUUGAUUAAAUGGUAUUAACUAAAAAGAAAAGCUUAAAUUGAGAAGUGUAGUGAUUUUAAUAAAAUUGUUAAUUAAUAAAACAAUACCAGACGAAGAAAAUUUAAUGAAUAAAUUAAAGAUUUGUACAAUUUUUACCUUGAUUAUCUGUUAUUAAUUCUUACGAGCCUCUGUAUUGAGAUGUGAAAUGAAUUGAAAGAUUCAUACUAAUUCAGUUUGGUUGUAUUGUUGAAUUAUUGAAAUAAGACUACAUAAAUAAACUUUUGAUAAGUUCAUAGGUUGGAAGGUAUGCACUAUGUACUGUUUUAGCUGGUUCUAUUGUUUGUUGCUGAAAACAAACGACUCGAGGAAGAAAAUGGAAAUUAUGUAUUUAUAUAUUUUAACCACUACAAUAAGGGAUUAACAGAAACAAUUGUAAUGUUGUAACAAUUGUAACUUGUAGUGGUCUGAUUGAGUUUGAUUGUGUUGUUAAAUAAUAAUAAUAGAAGACAUGUAUUGAUUUAGUUCAACCAUAGGCAUUGCUCUAAUACAAAUAAGAGAUGGACAGAGAAAAAUGUAAUUACUUGUACAUUUCUCAUUUUAUUAUGUUGUUAAUUAUUAAAAACUAGCGACUGGAAUGCUAAUAAAGAAUUGAGUAUUGAAUAGACAAGAUAUAUUGUACUAGUUGUGAGAUAACGAAUAUAAAUAAGAGAUGGGCAGAGAAACUGACUAAAGAAUUUGUAUUAGCUACUUUGAUCAUAUUGAUGAUUAAUGGAUACUAAACGAGAUAAAAUAUGUAUACAUAUAUAUUGUAGUCAGAGAUAGAAGAUGUAAUAAAUUGAGAGAUUUGUAUAUUGUCCAGUUUGAGGAUAUUGACAAUUACGAGUCAUUUAUGAUUCUGAAUUUAAUACACGGAAGGAAUUGUGUAAGGACGGUUUUGUGUAAGGAGCCGCUUGUGAUAAUAUUAUUAAUCAAUAUUUAUAGAGAUCUUCAUUGACACAUACCUACUUAAAAAGCUGUGUAUAUUUUUCAUAGCUCUCAAUUCUUCGAAACUAAGUCCUUAAAAAAUAAAUUGUAUAUAUUGUGCCAAUAAAGUGUAAUUGUGAAGUAUAUAAAAUAAGACAGGAUAUUAAGCAAUUGUAUAUUGUAUUGAAGAUCAAUACAAGUGUAGUGACGCAGUUUAUGAAUCUAAGGCUGGAUAUUAAGAAAUUGUAUAUUGUAUUGUUAAUGUACAGUAGUCCAGGUACUGGAUAGAAAGAAGUUGUUUACUGUAAUGAGAAUUAUAUAAGCAGAAGCAAUGUGUAAAUACUGAUUUGCACUUUGAAUUAUGAUAGUGAUAAAUUUUAAUGUGUUAAUAAGGAACAUAAGUUCAGAGACUUUGUAUAAUAGAAGUUUUCUAUUGAAAUAAGAAAUGAUAUAAGUAUUUUGAUGCCAAUAUGGUGAUGUUGACUUGUACUGCUUGAAUUUGAAUGAGGUACACAAAUCCAGAGACUGGAUACAUAGGAUUCUUUAUUUAAUGAUAUUUGUUUGUGACUUUAGUUUAUUUAGUGUUAUACACAAGUAUGUUGUCGUCGAUAUGUUCAUAUUGACUUGUAAUAUUGAAAUUUGAAUGUAUUGAUAAAGUAUGUGUAAGAUAAGAACCGAGACUGGAUAUAAGGAAUUGUUUACUUGAUGGGGAACUAUAUAAAUGAAUUCAUGUCAAUAUGUUGAUUUUGACUUGUAUUGCUUGAAUUUGAAUGUAUUGGUAAGGUACCUACACAAGUCCGGAGACUGGAUAUAGAGAAUUGUUUAUUUAAUGGGGAAUGAUAAAAGUAUAUUGAUGUCAAAAUGUUGAUGUUGACUUGUAAUCGUUGAAUUUGAAUGUAUUUAUAAAGAAAUAAAUCCAGAGACUGGAUAUAAAACAUGUCGAUUAUUGAAAUAGGAAAUGGCAUAAGUAUAUAGAUGCCAAUAUGUUGAUGUUGACUUGAAAUGGUUGAAUUUGAAUGUAUUUAUAAAGAAUAUAGAUCCAGAGACUGGAUAUAAAUAAAGUUGAUUAUUGAAAUAGGAUAUGAUAUAAGUAUAUAGAUGCCAAUAUGUUGAUGUUUACUUGUAAUGGUUGAAUUUGAAUGUAUUUAUAAAGAAAUAAAUCCAAAGACUGGAUAUAAAACAAGUCGAUUAUUUAAAUAGGAAAAUAUAUAAGUAUAUAGAUGCCAAUAUGUUGAUGUUGACUUGUCAUGGUUAAAUUUGAAUGUAUUGAUAAGGUACAUAAGUCGAGAGACUUGAUAGAAGGAUCUUGAUGUCAAUUUGUUAACAUGACUAGAAGACGUAGAUAGCUCCAAAUAGGAGUGAAUUCCUCGUUGCAGUCACAGUGAUAGUAAGAUUAACUUACUCUGUUAAACUUGAAUGUUUUGAUAAAGUAUACAAGUCCAAAUACUAGACGUGAAGUUGUUUACCGUAGUAAGAAUUUGUACAAGUAUAUGGUUGCCAAUUUGUUAAAAUGGCAAUGUACACAAGUCACAGUUUGGAUUCAAAAUGAAAUGAAAUGAAAAUAUUCGCAGAAAUUGUUUAUCGUAGUGAGAGUUUAUGCAAUUAUAUUGUUGACGAUUUGUUAGCAUGGCUGGAAGGCGUGGAUGGCUCCAGUUGGAGUGAAGGCCACGAUGCAGUCAUAGUUAGAGAUGGCUGGAAGGCGUGGAUGGCUCCAGUUGGAGUGAAGGCCACGAUGCAGUCCUAGUUAAAGAUACGACUCUGGAAGGUUGGCACGAUCGUGAAGCCUUGUUGGUGGACAUCCUCUUGGCUUUGCGGUGAGGGGUCAAAUGCAGAUGUCGUGAGUUGAGAUUGGCUGGAAGGCGUGGAUGGCUCCAGUUGGAGUGAAGGCCACGAUGCAGUCCGUCCUAGUUAAAGAUACGACUCUGGAAGGUUGGCACGAUCGUGAAGCCUUGUUGGUGGACAUCCUCUUGGCUUUGCGGUGAGGGGUCAAAUGCAGAUGUCGUGAGUUGAGAUUGGCUGGAAGGCGUGGAUGGCUCCAGUUGGAGUGAAGGCCACGAUGCAGUCCGUCCUAGUUAAAGAUACGACUCUGGAAGGUUGGCACGAUCGUGAAGCCUUGUUGGUGGACAUCCUCUUGGCUUUGCGGUGAGGGGUCAAAUGCAGAUGUCGUGAGUUGAGAUUGGCUGGAAGGCGUGGAUGGCUCCAGUUGGAGUGAAGGCCACGAUGCAGUCCGUCCUAGUUAAAGAUACGACUCUGGAAGGUUGGCACGAUCGUGAAGCCUUGUUGGUGGACAUCCUCUUGGCUUUGCGGUGAGGGGUCAAAUGCAGAUGUCGUGAGUUUAGAUUGGCUGGAAGGCGUGGAUGGCUCCAGUAAGAGUGAAGGCCUCGAGGCAGUCCUAGGAACGCAGCUCUGUAAAGGUGGCACAGUCAUGAAUUCUUGCUGGCGAAUAACCCCUUGACUUUGACCUUUAACUUUGUACCAAAAUAUAAACCAAUUUGUAAAUGUGAACACCAUGUAGCAUUUUAAUUGUCACUUUACUCUCAUUUGUCUUUGCGAUUCUACAUGAUCUUCGCAUGCUUUUAGUGUAUGUAUCAAUACAUACAAAUUGUAAUACUAUAUUAUUUUUAAAAAGAGUAACCAUGGAGUUUCUUGCCCGUUCUUCUCCAUAGGAAGCUACUUUUGGAAUGGGCAACUAGAAUCAAACUUAGUUAUGGUUUUGACGUCCAUAAGUGCUUGUAAAGGCCUAAAUGAAAUAAAUGAUUUGACUUUGAGAAGUUUGAGGACAAACUUAGUGGUCAGAAUGGCCGAAUGUUAGACUAAUAUUAUCCUGUGUUGUUCUGUAUGUUAUAUUCUCUUUUCAUACAUUAAGGAACUAUACUAUAUUUACCGAAGUAUACUAAAUCAUUUUAGUUUUAUACGGACAACACUACCUCUACUGUGAGGACAACACUAAAAAGAGAUUUUGACAGUUAGAGCGCGCGCUUUACAUGCGCUUCCUUCGUGGACUGAUAAACUAUGUUUUCUUACGAUUGAUAUUAAAUUGUGUUUUAAAAGUGAAUACAAGAAGUUAUUGUGAUA